GCCAAGCCUGCUUCUAUGCCCAGAGACUGCUGACAGAGAGACACCUGAUCCAGAGACACCAAUGAGGAAAGGCCAACGCAGCGAGUCAGCGACCUGAGCCAAUAGGACCUUGAGGAAGGGCUAUAAAUGGAGGCCUAACUUCUUUAAUAAAUGAGUCUGCAGCAAGCUCUGCCACUCACUGACUCCUGGUGCCUGGGUCGUUGGUGCAGCAGCAUCUCACCCGCCUCCCUGAAGGGGUGUCCGAGCAAGGACUGCCAAGCGCCAAUGUCUGAAUUCUGAGUCCCAGGAGACCUGCUUUCCUCACUGGACCCCACAAGAAUUCAUAGAGGACACUGGCCUUCAGGGUUAAACUCUUUAAAUCCAAGAGCAUCGAGAGAAGUUCUAUAAAGAGGGUGCUCUCACCCAGAACCUGGCAAGUUCUCUCCAGGUGAUGAGUGGAAGCCAUGUUCCUUACACACUGGCCAUCCUCCAUUACAUUGUUCUCAACCCACCCAGAGAGAUUAUAUUAUUGAUAAAACAGGUAAGAACUCCUAUGCCCUUGUCUCCGCAUACAUGGUGUUAGUAAUAUUACAGAAGCUGACCACACCCCCUAGUUAUGAGCUUCUCAAAGAGUUCUAAAGGAAGAGAGGCCCGAGGGAGAGAGAAUAACAACUCUUGAAAUGCCAUCGGUAGAGUCACCAGUACUAAUGUGACAGCCAUGACUGACAAUGAAGUCAGUUUCAUUCAACCUUAAAGACAGUUUUGCGAUGGUUGAGCAUACAUGCGCACACAGAACCUGAAUAUCUCAAAGCAGAUUUUCCUCGGCCACUGUGAGGAAGACUUGCAUGGCCCCUGGUCUUCCUUCUGGACAUUUCUUCUAUUUGACGAGCAGCAGACCCCGUGGGAAGUUUGCCGGAAUCCUCUAAGGAGAACUAACUCUGAGGGAAUCCAUUACUGUGUGCAGUUGUCUUCAUUUCCUUCCAGAAAAAAGGCUGCUGGGUUUGUUGCUGUUGUUUUUAAACUAAGGACUUUGAAGAUAUCUCUCAGUUUGUAAAAUGCUUGCUGAAGUACUUCCUGGGCAAGCAAUGGAGACCCGUGUUCAGGCCCUACUUAGAACUCAGACAAUGUGAAGAGUUUUGCAGCUCCAAUUUAUGUUCCUAUGUCAUCUAAGAGGCCAAGAAAGUUCAAAUCCUAUGGGUCUUCCAGUCCAGCAGGAGUGGCAGAAUUGACAAAUAAAACUUUAUUCCACACAUUCGAAGACAAGCCAUCACUGGAGGAUUAUAGCUCUGUUGUGUGCUUCUUUCCAAAAUAGCAAAAUAAAAAUUGUUGUC